AGAGUUUGAUCCUGGCUCAGGAUGAACGCUGGCGGCGUGCUUAACACAUGCAAGUCGAACGAACCUUCGGGUUAGUGGCGGACGGGUGAGUAACGCGUGAGAAUCUGCCCUCAGGAGGGGGAUAACGGCUGGAAACGGCCGCUAAUACCCCAUAUGCCGAGAGGUGAAAUGAAUUUCGCCUGAGGAUGAGCUCGCGUCUGAUUAGCUAGUUGGUGUGGUAAAGGCUCACCAAGGCAUCGAUCAGUAGCUGGUCUGAGAGGAUGAUCAGCCACACUGGGACUGAGACACGGCCCAGACUCCUACGGGAGGCAGCAGUGGGGAAUUUUCCGCAAUGGGCGCAAGCCUGACGGAGCAACGCCGCGUGAGGGAUGAAGGCCUCUGGGCUGUAAACCUCUUUUAUCAAGGAAGAAGAUCUGACGGUACUUGAUGAAUAAGCCACGGCUAAUUCCGUGCCAGCAGCCGCGGUAAUACGGGAGUGGCAAGCGUUAUCCGGAAUUAUUGGGCGUAAAGCGUCCGCAGGCGGUCUUGAAAGUCUGUUGUUAAAGCGUGGAGCUCAACUCCAUUUCAGCAAUGGAAACUAGAAGACUAGAGUGUGGUAGGGGCAGAGGGAAUUCCCGGUGUAGCGGUGAAAUGCGUAGAUAUCGGGAAGAACACCAGUGGCGAAGGCGCUCUGCUGGGCCAUAACUGACGCUCAUGGACGAAAGCCAGGGGAGCGAAAGGGAUUAGAUACCCCUGUAGUCCUGGCCGUAAACGAUGAACACUAGGUGUCGGGGGAAUCGACCCCCUCGGUGUCGUAGCCAACGCGUUAAGUGUUCCGCCUGGGGAGUACGCACGCAAGUGUGAAACUCAAAGGAAUUGACGGGGGCCCGCACAAGCGGUGGAGUAUGUGGUUUAAUUCGAUGCAACGCGAAGAACCUUACCAGGGUUUGACAUCCUGCGAAUCCCUUGGAAACUUGGGAGUGCCUUCGGGAGCGCAGUGACAGGUGGUGCAUGGCUGUCGUCAGCUCGUGUCGUGAGAUGUUGGGUUAAGUCCCGCAACGAGCGCAACCCACGUCUUUAGUUGCCAGCAUUAAGUUGGGCACUCUAGAGAGACUGCCGGUGAUAAACCGGAGGAAGGUGUGGAUGACGUCAAGUCAUCAUGCCCCUUACAUCCUGGGCUACACACGUACUACAAUGCUACGGACAAAGGGCAGCAAACUCGCGAGAGCUAGCAAAUCCCAUAAACCGUGGCUCAGUUCAGAUCGUAGGCUGCAACUCGCCUACGUGAAGGAGGAAUCGCUAGUAAUCGCAGGUCAGCAUACUGCGGUGAAUACGUUCCCGGGCCUUGUACACACCGCCCGUCACACCAUGGAAGUUGGCCACGCCCGAAGUCGUUACUCCAACCCGCAAGGGAGGAGGAUGCCGAAGGUGGGGCUGAUGACUGGGGUGAAGUCGGAACAAGGUA
rnacentral:rRNA from 1 species